CCUACGGGUGGCUGCAGUGGGGGAUAUUGCACAAUGGGGGGAACCCUGAUGCAGCGACGCCGCGUGGGUGAAGAAGCGCUUCGGCGCGUAAAGUCCUGUCAGUAGGGAAGAUAAUGACGGUAUCUAACUAAUAAGCCCCGGCUAACUACGUGCCAGCAGCCGCGGUAAUACGGAGGGGGCAAGCGUUACUCGGAAUUACUGGGCGUAAGGGGCGCGUAGACGGGAGAGCAAGACAGGAGUGAAAUCCCGGGGCUCAACCCCGGGACUGCACUUGGAACUGGUCGGCUGGAGUGCAGGAGAGGCAGGCGGAAUUCCUGGUGUAGCGGUGAAAUGCGUAGAGAUCAGGAGGAACACCGAUGGCGAAGGCGACCUGCUGGA
rnacentral:rRNA from 1 species